rnacentral:rRNA from 1 species
GUCCACGCCGUAAACGAUGUCUACUAGCCGUUGGGAGACUUGAUUUCUUAGUGGCGCAGCUAACGCUUUAAGUAGACCGCCUGGGGAGUACGGCCGCAAGGUUAAACUCAAAUGAAUUGACGGGGCCCGCACAAGCGGUGGAGCAUGUGGUUUAAUUCGAUGCAACGCGAAGAACCUUACCAGGUCUUGACAUCCCCGGAACUAUCCAGAGAUGGAUGGGUGCCUUCGGGAACCGGAGACAGGUGCUGCAUGGCUGUCGU